UACGUAGGGUGCGAGCGUUGCCCGGAUUUAUUGGGCGUAAAGGGCGCGUAGGCGGCUCGGCACGUCCGUUGUGAAAUCGCCCGGCUCAACUGGGCGGGGUCAGCGGAUACGGUCGAGCUUGAGCAAGCUAGGGGGCAAUGGAAUUCCCGGUGUAGUGGUGGAAUGCGUAGAUAUCGGGAGGAACACCAGUGGCGAAGGCGGUUGCCUGGAGCUUUGCUGACGCUGAGGCGCGAAAGCGUGGGGGAGCGAUCCGG
rnacentral:rRNA from 1 species